UGGCUCAGGGGGUAAAGCAUCUGCCUGCAAUGCAGGAGACCUGGGUUCGAUCCCUG
rnacentral:tRNA from 1 species